rnacentral:rRNA from 1 species
UGGGGAAUAUUGGACAAUGGGCGAAAGCCUGAUCCAGCCAUGCCGCGUGUGUGAAGAAGGUCUUCGGAUUGUAAAGCACUUUAAGUUGGGAGGAAGGGCAGUAAGUUAAUACCUUGCUGUUUUGACGUUACCGACAGAAUAAGCACCGGCUAACUCCGUGCCAG